rnacentral:misc_RNA from 1 species
AACGAGGCCGACCUGCGGCUGAGUUACCUGCGGAAGGAUCAUUACAGAGUUCAUGCCCUCACGGGUAGAUCUCCCACCCUUGAAUACUAUACCUUUGUUGCUUUGGCGGGCCGCUUUGGCUACUGGCUCUGGCUAGUAAGUGCCCGCCAAAGAACCCCAAAACUCUGAAUAUUAGUGUCGUCUGAGUACUAUAUAAUAGUUAAAACUUUCAACAACGGAUCUCAGAUCGGAAGAGCACAC